CCUGGACCCGCUGCCACUCUGUGUCCUGCCCCUGCCCAGGCCCUCUUCCUGGUUCAGGCACAGAAUGCCAACCUGACUCCCAGCAUGGAAACAAAUUAGUUUCUGAUGGAAAGGGAUUUGACUCAGAAGGAGAGAAAAUGCUUUGAGGACACUCCAGCAAAGGAAGCCUCUUUACCACCAGGUGGUCACCAAUAAUCUCUAAGAAGAUGCGAGGUACCUUAUAGUUGUAAACAAUUGUAGUAUCAGAUCUUUUCAAAAAGAACACAGCAGAGACAUCAGUUCAACGUUGGAGAAAUAGGAAAGAUUUCAUGCCAUCAAAUCAGGGAGGCUCUUGAAACAUCGCUGACGUCCUAAUCUCCUUUUUCAGGUUUUUAAACAUCUAAGAAUACCAGGUAAAUUUAUCAGUACUUAUCUGGCAAAGAAGAGAGAGGGAGAGUAUGUAUGUGCAUGGAGAGAAUAAACUCUGCAUAAGUUUUCCAGCAUCGCAUGGCAAGCAGGAGGAUGCUGAUUUCACCAAUGAAAUAGCUAAUAAGAGCACAAAAGCAGACAUCUCAAAAGCAUUCCAGACUCCAAAGAAAAAGAGAACGUUCAGAAGAGGCUUCCAACCUGCUGGAAUAAAUCCCUUUGAACCUAAGAGAGGAAGAGUUCAUAUAAGCCACACUAAAAGUCAGAAUUUAUUAUUUAUCAGCAUGUUUAAUAAAAUUUAUUUUGAAAAGUGUAUUAAGCAGUACAAUAAAAUAAUACCUAUCUGUAUUAAAA